CCCUUAGAUGUUCUGGGCCGCACGCGCGCUACACUGAUGCAUUCAACGAGCCUAUCCUUGACCGACAGGUCCGGGUAAUCUUUGAAUCUGCAUCGUGACGGGGAUAGAUUAUUGCAAUUAUUAAUCUUUAACGAGGAAUGCCUAGUAGGCGCAAGUCAUCAGCUUGCGUCGAUUACGUCCCUGCCCUUUGUACACACCGCCCGUCGCUCCUACCGAUUGGGUGUGCUGGUGAAAUGUUCGGAUCGGCCGUUUGUCGCGGUUUCCGCGUCAUGUGGCUGAGAAGUUCAUUAAACCCUCCCACCUAGAGGAAGGAGAAGUCGUAACA
rnacentral:rRNA from 1 species